rnacentral:rRNA from 1 species
UACGGGGGGGGCAAGCGUUGUUCGGAAUUACUGGGCGUAAAGGGCUCGUAGGCGGCCAACUAAGUCAGACGUGAAAUCCCCAGGCUCAACCUGGGAACUGCGUCUGAUACUGGAUGGCUUGAAUCCGGGAGAGGGAUGCAGAAUUCCAGGUGUAGCGGUGAAAUGUGUAGAGAUCGGGAGGAACACCGGUGGCGAAGGCGGUCUUCUGGACGGUGACUGACGCUGAGGCGCGAAAGCGUGGGGAGCAAACGGG